UACAGAGGGGGCGAGCGUUGUUCGGAAUUACUGGGCGUAAAGGGCGCGUAGGCGGCCUUCUAAGUCGAACGUGAAAUCCCCGGGCUCAACCCGGGAACUGCGUCCGAUACUGGGAGGCUUGAAUCCGGGAGAGGGAUGUGGAAUUCCAGGUGUAGCGGUGAAAGUGACGUAGAUAUCCGGAGGAACACCAGAGGCGAAGGCGGCCGGCUGGACCUGACCUGACGCUGAGGCACGGAAGGCGUGGGGAGCGAACGGGG
rnacentral:rRNA from 1 species